UACGAGGGGGGCGAGCGUUGUUCGGAAUUAUUGGGCGUAAAGGGUGCGUAGGCGGUUUGGUAAGUCUGAUGUGAAAUCUAUGGGCUCAACUCAUAGUCUGCAUCGGAAACUGCCGGGCUUGAGUGUGGGAGAGGUGAGUGGAAUUCCUGGUGUAGCGGUGAAAUGCGUAGAUAUCAGGAGGAACACCUGUGGCGAAAGCGGCUCACUGGACCAUAACUG
rnacentral:rRNA from 1 species